rnacentral:rRNA from 1 species
UCGAGAAUCUUCGGCAAUGGUCGCAAGACUGACCGAGCGACGCCGCGUGCGGGAUGAAGGCCUUCGGGUUGUAAACCGCUGUCAGAGGGGAGGAAAUCGAUCGGGUCCACUCGGUCGUUGACCUAUCCUCAGAGGAAGUCCGGGCUAAGUUCGUGCCAGCAGCCGCGGUAAGACGAACCGGACAAACGUUAUUCGGAAUCACUGGGCUUAAAGGGUGCGUAGGCGGUGCGGUCAGUCGGGUGUGAAAUCCCUCAGCUCAACUGAGGAACUGCGCCCGAUACUGCCGUGCUUGAGGGAGGCAGAGGUGAGCGGAACUGAUGGUGGAGCGGUGAAAUGCGUUGAUAUCAUCAGGAACACCGGUGGCGAAGGCGGCUCACUGGGCCUUUUCUGACGCUGAGGCACGAAAGCUAGGGUAGCGAACAGGAUUAGAUACCCGUGUAGUCC